UACGGGGGGAGCAAGCGUUGUUCGGAUUUACUGGGCGUAAAGGGCGCGUAGGCGGCCAGCGCAAGUCAGUUGUGAAAUCUCCGGGCUUAACUCGGAACGGUCAACUGAUACUGCGCGGCUAGAGUGCAGAAGGGGCAACUGGGAUUCUCGGUGUAGCGGUGAAAUGCGUAGAUAUCGAGAGGAACACCUGCGGCGAAGGCGGGUUGCUGGGCUGACACUGACGCUGAUGCGCGAAAGCUAGGGGAGCGAACGGG
rnacentral:rRNA from 1 species